UACGGAGGGUCCAAGCGUUAUCCGGAAUCAUUGGGUUUAAAGGGUCCGUAGGCGGUUUUGUAAGUCAGUGGUGAAAGCCCAUCGCUCAACGGUGGAACGGCCAUUGAUACUGCAGACUUGAAUUAUUGGGAAGCAACUAGAAUAUGUAGUGUAGCGGUGAAAUGCUUAGAGAUUACAUGGAAUACCAAUUGCGAAGGCAGGUUGCUACCAAUACAUUGACGCUGAUGGACGAAAAGCGUGGGGAGCGAAC
rnacentral:rRNA from 1 species